rnacentral:tRNA from 1 species
GCCUUCGUGGUGUAGUGGUCAGCACUCUCAGUUCGUAUUUGAGAGGUCUGUGGUUCGAAUCCCGGUGACGGCA